rnacentral:rRNA from 1 species
UUCCAGACUCCUACGGGAGGCAGCAGUGGGGAAUAUUGCGCAAUGGGGGCAACCCUGACGCAACAACGCCGCGUGCAGGAAGAAGGUCUUCGGAUUGUAAACUGUUGUCGCAAGGGAAGAAGACAGUGACGGUACCUUGUGAGAAAGUCACGGCUAACUACGUGCCAGCAGCCGCGGUAAUACGUAGGUGACAAGCGUUAUCCGGAUUUACUGGGUGUAAAGGGAGCGUAGACGGCGAUGCAAGCCAGAUGUGAAAGCCCGGGGCUCAACCCCGGGACUGCAUUUGGAACUGUGUGGCUGGAGUGUCGGAGAGGCAGGCGGAAUUCCUGGUGUAGCGGUGAAAUGCGUAGAUAUCAGGAGGAACACCGGUGGCGAAGGCGGCCUGUUGGACUGCAACUGACGUUGAGGCCCGAAAGCGUGGGGAGCAAACAGGAUUAGAUACCCCCGUAAAC